AUUGAACGCUGGCGGCAUGCCUUACACAUGCAAGUCGAACGGUAACAGGUCUUCGGAUGCUGACGAGUGGCGAACGGGUGAGUAAUACAUCGGAACGUGCCUAGUAGUGGGGGGUAACUACUCGAAAGAGUGGCUAAUACCGCAUGAGAUCUACGGAUGAAAGCAGGGGAUCGCAAGACCUUGUGCUACUAGAGCGGCCGAUGGCAGAUUAGGUAGUUGGUGGGAUAAAAGCUUACCAAGCCGACGAUCUGUAGCUGGUCUGAGAGGACGAUCAGCCACACUGGAACUGAGACACGGCCCAGACUCCUACGGGAGGCAGCAGUGGGGAAUUUUGGACAAUGGGCGCAAGCCUGAUCCAGCAAUGCCGCGUGCAGGAUGAAGGCCUUCGGGUUGUAAUCUGCUUUUGUACGGAACGAAAAGCCCUGGGUUAAUACCCUGGGGUCAUGACGGUACCGUAAGAAUAAGCACCGGCUAACUUCGUGCCAGCCGCCGCGGUAACAC
rnacentral:rRNA from 1 species